rnacentral:rRNA from 1 species
CAAGCGAACAAGUGCAUGUGGUGGAUGCCUUGGCGAUCACAGGCGAUGAAGGACGCGGUAGCCUGCGAAAAGCUACGGGGAGCUGGCAAACGAGCUUUGAUCCGUAGAUGUCCGAAUGGGGAAACCCACUCCUUUUGGAGUAUCCAUGGCUGAAUACAUAGGCCAUGCGAAGCGAACGCGGUGAACUGAAACAUCUAAGUAACCGCAGGAAAAGAAAUCAACCGAGAUUCCCAAAGUAGUGGCGAGCGAAAUGGGAUGAGCCUUGUACUCUUUAUUUGUAUUGUUAGCCGAACGCUCUGGAAAGUGCGGCCAUAGCAGGUGAUAGCCCUGUAGGCGAAAACAGUAUGAAAGAACUAAGUGUACGACAAGUAGGGCGGGACACGUGAAAUCCUGUCUGAAGAUGGGGGGACCAUCCUCCAAGGCUAAAUACUCGUGAUCGACCGAUAGUGAACCAGUACCGUGAGGGAAAGGCGAAAAGAACCCCGGGAGGGGAGUGAAAUAGAUCCUGAAACCGCAUGCAUACAAACAGUCGGAGCCUCGUAAGGGGUGACGGCGUACCUUUUGUAUAAUGGGUCAGCGACUUACGUUCAGUAGCAAGCUUAACCGUAUAGGGCAGGCGUAGCGAAAGCGAGUCCGAAUAGGGCGUUCAGUUGCUGGGCGUAGACCCGAAACCAAGUGAUCUAUCCAUGGCCAGGAUGAAGGUGCGGUAACACGUACUGGAGGUCCGAACCCACUAACGUUGAAAAGUUAGGGGAUGAGCUGUGGAUAGGGGUGAAAGGCUAAACAAACUUGGAAAUAGCUGGUUCUCUCCGAAAACUAUUUAGGUAGUGCCUCGUGUCUCACCUUCGGGGGUAGAGCACUGUCAUGGUUGGGGGGUCUAUUGCAGAUUACCCCGCCAUAGCAAACUCCGAAUACCGAAGAGUGCAAUCACGGGAGACAGACAUCGGGUGCUAACGUCCGGUGUCAAGAGGGAAACAACCCAGACCGCCAGCUAAGGUCCCCAAAUAUAGCUAAGUGGGAAACGAAGUGGGAAGGCUAAAACAGUCAGGAGGUUGGCUUAGAAGCAGCCACCCUUUAAAGAAAGCGUAAUAGCUCACUGAUCGAGUCGUCCUGCGCGGAAGAUGUAACGGGGCUAAGCUAUAUACCGAAGCUGCGGAUGCGAGCUAUGCUCGCAUGGUAGGAGAGCGUUCCGUAAGCCUGCGAAGGUGCGUUGAAAAGC